GACGAACGCUGGCGGCGUGCCUAAUACAUGCAAGUAGAACGCAGUUGCGAACGGGUGAGUAACGCGUAGGUACCUGCCUCAUAGCGGGGGUUAACUCUUGGAAACGAUAGCUAAUCCCGCCUACUGUGCCAUGGACCUUCGUUGUAUUAGGUAGUUGGUGAGGUAAAGGAUCACCAAGGCGACGUUACAUUGCAGACCUGAGCGGGUGAUAGGCCAAACUGGGAAUGGGACACUGCCAAGACGUCUACGGGAGGCAGCAGUAGGGAAUCAUCGGAAAUGGGCGGAAGUCUGACCGAGGAACGCCGCGUGAGGGAAGAAGGUUGUUGGAGCGUAAAGCUCUGUUGUGAGAGAAGCGGUAACUAACCAGAAAGGGACGGCUAACUACGUGCCAGCAGCCGCGGUAAUUC
rnacentral:rRNA from 1 species